rnacentral:rRNA from 1 species
CCCUUAGAUGUCCGGGGCUGCACGCGCGCUACACUGAAGGAAUCAGCGUGCUAAAACCAUUGUCGAAAGGCAUUGGUAAACCCAUUAAAUCCUACGUGAUUGGGAUCGGGAAUUGCAAUUAUUUCCCUUGAACGAGGAAUUCCCAGUAAGUGUGGGUCAUAAGCUCGCGUUGAUUACGUCCCUGCCCUUUGUACACACCGCCCGUCGCUGCCCGGGACUGAGCCGUUUCGAGAAAAGCGGGGACUGCUGCUGUCGGGGCUUUCGGGCCUUGGCUUCGGUGGAAACCGCUUUAAUCGCAGUGGCUUGAACCGGGCAAAAGUCGUAACA